rnacentral:rRNA from 1 species
UACGGGGGGGGCAAGCGUUGUUCGGAAUUACUGGGCGUAAAGGGCUCGUAGGUGGCCAACUAAGUCAGACGUGAAAUCCCUCGGCUUAACCGGGGAACUGCAUCUGAUACUGGAUGGCUUGAGUUCGGGAGAGGGAUGCGGAAUUCCAGGUGUGGCGGUGAAAUGCGUAGAUAUCUGGAGGAACACCGGUGGCGAAGGCGGCAUCCUGGACCGACACUGACGCUGAGGUGCGAAAGCGUGGGGAGCAAACAGG